ACUAAAUGUUGGCGAUAUACUGUCAGUGUUAAAGAGAAAUCGUUAAGUGAUCCACCUGGGGAGUACGUUCGCAAGAAUGAAACUCAAAGGAAUUGACGGGGGCCCGCACAAGCGGUGGAGCAUGUGGUUUAAUUCGAUGAUACGCGAGGAACCUUACCAGGGCUUAAAUGUUUAGUGACAGAUCUAGAAAUAGAUUUUUCUUCGGACACUAAACAAGGUGCUGCAUGGUUGUCGUCAGCUCGUGCCGUGAGGUGUCAGGUUAAGUCCUGUAACGAGCGCAACCCCUGUCGUGUGUUAUACGUGUCACACGAGACUGCCGGUGUCAAACCGGAGGAAGGCGGGGAUGACGUCAAGUCAGCAUGUCCUUCAUAUCCUGGGCUACACACACGCUACAAUGGCCGGGACAACAGGCAGCCAAGCCGCGAGGCGGAGCUAAUCCUCUAAACCCGGUCUCAGUUCGGAUUGUAGGCUGCAACUCGCCUGCAUGAAGUCGGAGUUGCUAGUAACCGCGCGUCAGCAACAGUGCGGUGAAUACGUUCCCGGGUCUUGUACACACCGCCCGUCACGUCAUGGAAGCUGGCAACACCUGAAGCCGGUGGCCUAACCGCAAGGAGGGAGCCGUCCAAGGUGGGGUUGGUGACUGGGACGAAGUCGUAACAAGGUAGCUGUAGCGGAAGCUGCGGCUG
rnacentral:rRNA from 1 species